UUUUCUUUCUCUUCUGUCUUUCUUCCUUCCUUCUUUCUUUCCUAGCAUUUUGUUUUUUAAACUUUUCUUCUAUUUUUAUUUCUUUUAUCAUUUUAAAUGGCAGUAGAGUGGAUUAACAACAUUGUGCUAGUUUCAGGUGUACAGAACAGUGGUUCAGCUAUAUAUAUAUUUAUUUUAUUUCAGAUUCUUUUCCUUCAGAGGUUAUUACAAGACAUUGAAAUAUAGUUCCCUGUGCUGUACAGUAGGACUGAAAACCUUUUUUUUUCAGUUUCCAGUCAUCACCAGCUCCUCUAGGGUGUGAAUAUUUUGAACAAGUAGUUUAGCAGCUGGUCCAUGAGUGUCUGCUUUGGGAGAAGGCCUCAACAAGCCAUUAUGGAGGACAGUAUGGAGGUUCCUU